UAGGGAAUCUUCGGCAAUGGACGAAAGUCUGACCGAGCAACGCCGCGCGAGUGAAGAAGGUUUUCGGAUCGUAAAACUCUGUUGUUAGAGAAGAACAAGGACGUUAGUAACUGAACGUCCCCUGACGGUAUCUAACCAGAAAGCCACGGCUAACUACGUGCCAGCAGCCGCGGUAAUACGUAGGUGGCAAGCGUUGUCCGGAUUUAUUGGGCGUAAAGCGAGCGCAGGCGGUUUCUUAAGUCUGAUGUGAAAGCCCCCGGCUCAACCGGGGAGGGUCAUUGGAAACUGGGAGACUUGAGUGCAGAAGAGGAGAGUGGAAUUCCGUGUGUAGCGGUGAAAUGCGUAGAUAUAUGGAGGAACACCAGUGGCGAAGGCGGCUCUCUGGUCUGUAACUGACGCUGAGGCUCGAAAGCGUGGGGAGCAAACAGG
rnacentral:rRNA from 1 species